AGCUCAGUGGUAGAGCGUCCGCCUGCGGAUCGGAAGGUUGUGGGCUCGAUACCCCACC
rnacentral:tRNA from 2 species